rnacentral:rRNA from 1 species
AGUGAACGCUGGCGGUAGGCCCAACACAUGCAAGUCGAACGGCAGCACAGUAAGAGCUUGCUCUUACGGGUGGCGAGUGGCGGACGGGUGAGGAAUACAUCGGAAUCUACUUUUUCGUGGGGGAUAACGUAGGGAAACUUACUCUAAUACCGCAUACGACCUACGGGUGAAAGCAGGGGAUCUUCGGACCUUGCGCGAUUGAAUGAGCCGAUGUCGGAUUGGCUAGUUGGCGGGGGAAAGGCCCACCAAGGCGACGAUCCGUAGCUGGUCUGAGAGGAUGAUCAGCCACACUGGAACUGAGACACGGUCCAGACUCCUACGGGAGGCAGCAGUGGGGAAUAUUGGACAAUGGGCGCAAGCCUGAUCCAGCAAUACCGCGUGGGUGAAGAAGGCCUUCGGGUUGUAAAGCCCUUUUGUUGGGAAAGAAAAGCAGCAGGUUAAUACCCCGCUGUUCUGACGGUACCCAAAGAAUAAGCACCGGCUAACUUCGUG